AGAGUUUGAUCCUGGCUCAGGACGAACGCUGGCGGCGCGCCUAACACAUGCAAGUCGAACGGAGUCAAGAGGAGCUUGCUUUUCUUGACUUAGUGGCGAACGGGUGAGUAACGCGUGAGUAACCUGCCCUGGAGUGGGGGACAACAGUUGGAAACGACUGCUAAUACCGCAUAAGCCCACGGAUUCGCAUGGAUCUGCGGGAAAAGGAUUUAUUCGCUUCAGGAUGGACUCGCGUCCAAUUAGCUAGUUGGUGAGGUAACGGCCCACCAAGGCGACGAUUGGUAGCCGGACUGAGAGGUUGAACGGCCACAUUGGGACUGAGACACGGCCCAGACUCCUACGGGAGGCAGCAGUGGGGGAUAUUGCACAAUGGGGGAAACCCUGAUGCAGCGACGCCGCGUGGAGGAAGAAGGUUUUCGGAUUGUAAACUCCUGUCGUUAGGGACGAUAAUGACGGUACCUAACAAGAAAGCACCGGCUAACUACGUGCCAGCAGCCGCGGU
rnacentral:rRNA from 1 species